rnacentral:rRNA from 1 species
UACGGGGGGAGCAAGCGUUGUUCGGAAUCACUGGGCGUAAAGGGAGUCUAGGCGGUUUGGUAAGUGGGAUGUGAAAUGCCCGGGCUCACCCCGGGACCUGCAUCCCAAACUGCUGAGCUUGAGUACAGGAGAGGGUGGGGGAAUUCCAGGUGUAGCGGUGAAAUGCGUAGAUAUCUGGAGGAAUACCAAUGGCGAAGGCAGUGCUCUGGGCUAACACUGACGCUGAGGUGCGAAAGCGUGGGUAGCGAACGGG